rnacentral:rRNA from 1 species
UCAAGCUAGGAAGAGCGCAAGGGGAAUGCCUUGGCACCAGGAGCCGAAGAAGGACGCGACAAACUGCGAAAAGCCACGGGGAGCCGUAAGUAGGCGCUAUAUCCGUGGAUAUCCGAAUGGAGCAAUCCGGCUGGAGUCAUGUCCAGUCAUCCCGGUCUGAACACAUAGGGCCGGGAGGGGAACCGCCUGAACUGAAACAUCUAAGUAGGGCGAGGAAAAGAAAUCAAGAGAGAUUCCGAAAGUAGUGGCGAGCGAAAUCGGAGGAGGCUAAACCAUAGGUAGAAAUACGUAUGGGGUAAGGACAGCAAGAAGCAAACCGGAGCCUAGAAGAAGGGUAUGGGAAGGCCCGCCAGAGAGAGUGAGAGCCUCGUAUUCGAAAGGCAAAGGGAGUAAGCUGGAUCCGGAGUACCGCGGGACACGAGGAACCCCGUGGGAAGGUGGGGGGACCAUCCUCCAAGCCUAAAUACUACCUGGUGACCGAUAGAGGAAAGUACUGUGAAGGAAAGGUGAAAAGGACCCCGGGAGGGGAGUGAAAGAGAACCUGAAACCUUGUGCUUACAAGCACCGAGAGCCCGUCAAAGGGUGAUCGGGUACCUUUUGUAGAAUGGUCCGGCGAGUGAAUGUAUCUGGCAAGGUUAAGCACUUAAGGUGCGCAGCCGUAGCGAAAGCGAGUCUGAACAGGGCGUAAGAAGUCAGAUGGAUUCGACCCGAAACCGGGUGACCUACCCAUGUCCAGGUUGAAGUGGAGGUAAAACUCCAUGGAGGACCGAACCGACUCCCGUUGAAAUGGUAGCGGAUGAGGUGUGGGUAGCGGAGAAAUUCCAAUCGAACCCGGAGAUAGCUGGUUCUCUCCGAAAUAGCUUUAGGGCUAGCCUCGAAAUAGAUUACCGGAGGUAAAGCACUGAAUAGGCUAGGGGCCGAGAGGUUACUGAACCUUAUCAAACUAAGAAUGCCGGGGAAUCGUUUUUCGGGAGUCAGACAGUGGGAGAUAAGUUUCAUUGUCGAAAGGGAAACAGCCCAGACCCACAGCUAAGGUCCCAAAGUACGGUUAAGUGGAAAAGGAUGUGGAGUUGCCCAGACAACCAGGAUGUUGGCUUAGAAGCAGCCAUACAUUAAAAGAGUGCGUAAUAGCUCACUGGUCGAGUGACUCUGCGCCGAAAAUUCAACGGGGCUAAACCGUACACCGAAGCUUGGGAUGGCGCAAGCGCCAUGGUAGGAGAGCGUUGUGUAAGGGGAGAAGCUGCAGCGGAAGCGGUGGUGGACUUUACACAAGUGAGAAUGCCGGAAUGAGUAGCGAGAAAUAUGUGAGAAUCAUAUUGGCCGAAAGUCUAAGGAUUUUGGAGGAAGGUUCGUCCGCUCCAAGUAAGUCGGGAGCUAAGGCGAGGCCGAAAGGCGUAGUCGAUGCACAUACGGUUGAUAUUCCGUAACCACCAAAGGAUUAAAGCAAAGGGACACCUGAGAAGGGCAUAACCCCGGGGUUGGUAGACCGGGGCGUAAGGGACCGAAAUUAGAGUAGGGAAGUAUGCGUAGAUCAGGGCGAGAAAAGCUUUGUGUAUAUUCGAGGUGCCCGUACCGCAAACCGACACAGGUGGACAGGAAGAGGAUUCUAAGGCCAACGGGAGAAGGGUAGUUAAGGAACUCGGCAAAUUGACCCCGUAACUUAGGGAAAAGGGGUGCUCACCAAGGUGAGCCGCAGAGAAUAGGCCCAGGCGACUGUUUAGCAAAAACACAGGUCUCUGCGAAAUCGAAAGAUGAAGUAUAGGGGCUGACACCUGCCCGGUGCCGGAAGGUUAAGAGGAGGAGUGCAAGCUCUGAAUUGAAGCCCCGGUAAACGGCGGCCGUAACUAUAACGGUCCUAAGGUAGCGAAAUUCCUUGUCGGGU